ACGCUGGCGGGAUGCUUUACACAUGCAAGUCGAACGGCAGCACGGACUUCGGUCUGGUGGCGAGUGGCAAACGUUGAUAAUGUAUCGGAACGUGCCUAGUAGCGCGGGGAUAACUUCGCGAAAGCGUAGCUAAUACCGCAUACGCCCUUCGGGAAAGCCAGGGGACCUUCGGGCCUCACUAUUAGAGCGGCCGAUAUCGGAUUAGCUAGUUGGUGGGGUAACGGCUCACCAGAGCGACGAUCCGUAGCUGGUUUGAGAGAACGACCAGCCACACUGGGACUGAGACACGGCCAGACUCCUACGGGAGGCAGCAGUGGGGAAUUUUUGGACAAUGGGGGAAACCCUGGUCCAGCCAUCCACAAUGUCUGAUGAAGGCCUUCGGGUUGUAAAGCACUUUUGGCAGGAAAGAAACGGCACGGGAUGUCCCCGUGCAACUGACGGUACCUGCAGAAUAAGCACCGGCUAACUACGUGCCAGCAGCCGCGGUAAUACGUAAGUGCAAGCGUUAAUCAAGAUUACUGGGCGUAAAGCAUUGCGCAGGCGGUUCGGAAAGAAAGAUGUGAAAUCCCAGAGCUUAACUUUGGAACUGCAUUUUUAACUACCGAGCUGAGUGCUGUCAGAGGAGGUGGAAUUCCCGCAUUAACAGCAGUGAAAUGCGUAGAUAUGCGGAGGAACACCGAUGGCGAAGGCAGCCUCCUGGGAUAACACUGACGCUCAUGCACGAAAGCGUGGGAGCAAACGGGAUUAGAUACCCUGGUAGUCCACGCCCUAAACGAUGUCAACUAGCUGUUGGGGCCUUCGGGCCUUGGUAGCGCAAUAACGCGUGAAGUUGACCGCCUGGGAGAGUACGGUCGCAAGAUUAAAACUCAAAGGAAUUGGCGGGGACCCGCACAAGCGGUGGAUGAUGUGGAUUAAUUCAAUUACAACGCGAAAAAGAAAAACCUUACUACAACAAACAUGUCUGGAAUCCCGAAAGAGAUUUGGAGUACAAGAGAACGGAACGGGUACUGCAUAGCUGUCGUCAGCUCGUGUCGUGAGAUGUUAGGUUAAGUCCCGCAACGAGCGCAACCCUUGUCAUUAAUUUGCUUUCGGUACUCUAAUGGGAACUGCGGUAGCAAACCCGGAGGAAGGUGGGGAUGACGUCAAGUCCUCAUGGCCCUUAUGGGUGGGGGCUUCACACACGUCAUACAAUGGUCGGGACAGAGGGUCGCCAACCCGCGAGGGCAAUCCCAGAAACCCGAUCGUAGUCCGGAUCGCAGUCUGCAACUCGACUGCGUGAAGUCGGAAUCGCUAGUAAUCAUGGCGGAUCAGCAUGUCGCGGUGAAUACGUUCCCGGGUCUUGUACACACACCCGUCCCUGCACCAUGGGAGUGGGUUUUACCAGUAGUUAGCUAACCGUAAGGAGGGCGAUUACCACGGUAGGAUUCAUGACUGAGGUGAAGUCGUAACAAGGU
rnacentral:rRNA from 1 species